rnacentral:rRNA from 1 species
CUACGGGCGGCUGCAGUGGGGAAUAUUGGGCAAUGGGCGCAAGCCUGACCCAGCAACGCCGCGUGAGGGAAGAAGGUUUUCGGAUUGUAAACCUCUGUCCUUGGGGACGAAAAAAAUGACGGUACCCAAGGAGGAAGCUCCGGCUAACUACGUGCCAGCAGCCGCGGUAAUACGUAGGGAGCGAGCGUUGUCCGGAAUUACUGGGCGUAAAGGGUGCGUAGGCGGCGUAUUAAGUCAGGUGUGAAAUAUUCGGGCUCAACCCGAAGGGUGCAUUUGAAACUGGUAUGCUUGAGUGUGGGAGAGGGAAGUGGAAUUCCUAGUGUAGCGGUGAAAUGCGUAGAUAUUAGGAGGAACACCAGUGGCGAAGGCGACUUUCUGGCUCAUAACUGACGCUGAGGCACGAAAGCGUGGGUAGCAAACAGGAUUAGAUACCCGUGUAGUC